ensembl:lncRNA
AAAAGACCCCAAAUAGCCAAAACAAUCUUGGAAAAUCAUUGAAAAAGAACAGAGCUGCAGGAAUCAUGUUCCCUAAUUUUAGACUGUACUAUAAAACUAUAGUAAUCAAAGCAGUAUAGUAAUGGCACAAAAACAGAAAUAUAAAUCAGUGGAACAGGAUAGAAAGCCCAGAAACAAACCCUUGCACCUAUGGUCAAUUAAUCUGUGACAAAGGAGGCAAGAAUAUACAAUGAAGAACAGAUAGUCUUUUCAACAAGUGGUGCUAGAAAACUGGACAGCUACAUGUAAAAGAAUGAAAUUAGAACACUCUCUAAUGCCAUGUACAAAAAUAAACUCAAAAUGGGUUAAAGGCCUAAACAUAAGACCAGAUACUAUAAAACUCCUCAAGGAAAACAUUGGCAGAAUACUCUUGGCAUAAAUUGCAGCAAUAUUUUUUUGGAUCCGUCUCCCAGAGUAAUGGGAGCAAAAGCAAAAAUAACAAAUGACACCUAAGAAACAAGGUCAUCCGAUGAAAGUAAGGAAGAGAGAGAAGUGUUUGUGGUUUGAAGAAACACAGUAUGGUUUGAAAUAAUAGUCUGUGAGGAUGGGCUGACUGGGUCCUUCUCAAUGUCUGAGGUGAUUCAUGGGCCCCUCAGGGGGCACUGUGUUUAGAGGGUCUGAGAAGGUCAACUGGCCGGGAAGGACUUCCAUUCUACCUAAUAGACAGGCUUCUAGAGCCAACUGUGACAACAGUUGUCCAAUCUGGAGGAAGAGCAUCAAAAACAGGCCUACCCGACUGAGGUGAGAGCUGAUGGAGCUGUCCCAAUACCACCUUGCCCCCAGCCCCUGAAUGGAACACACAAUGGUCUAAACUGCAGGUAGACAAAGAUAAACCGUUGAAACUGCUCUUAUUAAGGAUGCUAAUGAUCUCCAUGUUGCCAAAUCCCAUGGUCAGAUCUUAGCCCUCAUCCUGCUUAACCAUCAGCAAUAUUGACACCGUUGAUCACCGUCUCUUCCUUAAAUUCUUGUUUGGUCUCUGAGACACCACCCUCUUUUAGUUUGCCUUUUUCGUUACUGAAUUCUCCUUCUCACUGUCCUUUCCUAUAGUGCUCCCUCAUCUUCCUGACCUUUAAGCUUUGGAGCACCCCUAGACUUGGUCUUCGUGUCUUUCCUCAUUCCCUUUCCCUCCCUGGUUAAUUUUAUCCAAGUCCAUGGCCUAAAACACCACCUGUGUACUGAUGUCUCCCAAAUUUGUAUCUCUAGCUCAGACGUCUCUUCUAAGCUCUGUAUUUGUAUAUCCACCUGCCUACUGGACAUCUUGACUAGGAAGUCUAAUACACAUCUCAAUUUAAAUGAGCCUAAAAUGGAGCUACAGGAAUUUCUCAGAAACCUCCUGCCCUGAAGACUUCUCCCUGUCAGUGAACAGCCAAAACUGCCACUACUGCCUCCAAGAAGGACAGAUCCUUCCUCCACCACCCAUCCCCAAGACCAACUCCAUAUGAAGCCCACUCCUCUCCACUUAAAUCUUGCUUGGCAGAACCUAGGCCCUGGGCCUGCUCCCCAGCUGCUGCUCUCUCAGGAGGCUGAGAGAAUAAAUUUUGACUUUUACCUUGAAAAAGGAAAUUUUCCAAACCAAGAAAAGUUUCAAAAGAUGCUGAGUAGCCACAACUUGUCAUUUCCUCAUAUUUUGUGAGGAAAUCUGAGUAUAAACUCUUUUGAGAGUUUUUUAAUAUUCACUUAAUAUUUUACACUUGAAUCUACUACAUCCAAGCCUUAUUUCUCAAUCCCCAGCAACUUGCCUUAAUCAAGUCUAUGUAAUGACUCCCAGGCUUUUUACAGUCUUCUUUUUCCAUCAAUUUAGGUCAUAUCUAAUUAGAUUAUAGAAGUUUAAUGACAGCUACAAGCACAAACAGGUUUGGAGACAAAUUCAGCUCACUCUUUGCUAAAUAUACAAAUCAACCAGUGGGAAGAAACAUAUUCUGGCAUCUUAGAGAGUAUCCCUCUAGCCCUGGGCAGUUUCAGGUCCUGGGCAUCAGUAGCAUUUCCAGUGGGGAGCAUUGGUUAAUCAGGUGAAUCAAGUAAGCAGAGAUGUGUUGAGAGCUUCUGCAAGCUUUACUUAAUUACUACUACGAGAGUGAUGACUUUACCUUUAGUGUCUGUCUGGAUUCCCUUUUGAUGUUGAACACACUGGGCUCUCAUGUGUUCCCUGCCCCAUACUCAAAGAAAGGCUGGUUCUUUUCUCUUUCUGAAUGAUUUGCUGACACAUCAGUCUCUUGCCUCCUGGACGAAUAAUGUGCACUUCCAGCCUGGUUCUGGAACAAUCUGAUUGCAGUGAGGGGUGUGGGGGUGUGUGUGUGUGUGUGUGUGUGUAACAAUGUGAUUGCAGUGGGGUGUGUGUGUGUGUGUGUGUGUAACAAUGUGAUUGCAUAAAGUGAAACAUCUGAUGGCCUUGAUGUAUAAAUGCUCAUGCAGUGUUCUCCAAAGCUCACAGAGAGGUUUGCAAGGAUUUUCAACAUGGUAAAAUUUGUUUAUUAUAUGUCAUAUGGGGGAUGCAGUGAUUUUAGGGAUUCAGAUAAACUGUUUCAGCUCUGGUACAGUAGCAUUCCAGAAGGACAGACUGCUUGGAGUAGACACACAGGGAUAACAUAAUCCUAUCUGGUAAGAUUCUGACCCAUAUCUGGAAAAUGAACAUCUGGUUCUGGUUCCAAGCCACUGAGUUCUGGUAUGUACUUAGACUGUGCCAGCUCAGAGAGUUGGAGGGUGAUGGAUACCACUUUGUUUAUGCUUGAAAAUGCUAUACCCUGCAAUUGUAUUGUGUAUUGUAUAACUCCAAGAUUGAUGAGGUUUACCUGGACCAAUGGUUUAAGUCUUCCUAGCCCAGGUGCCAGACUAUGUGAAUGGGUGAGCUUUCAGAUGAUUUCACCCCCAGCCAUCUGCAUCCAUCUGAGAGCUCCUGUGCCAAAACCUGCCCAACCAAGCCAAUCUCAAGUUCCUGACCCAUAGAAACUGUGAGAGAUAAUAAAUUAUUGUUAUUGUUUGAAGCCACUAAGUUUAUGGGGUGAUUAGCUAGGCAUUAAUGAAUAACUAGACCAGGUACCUAUGUGCUGUGUCAACAAAGCGUCCAAUAAUCAAUGAAUUUCAUGAGUUGGAACUUUAAAGGAGAGCUAGAGCUCAGUGCUGAAGACGAUAAUUUGGGAAGAAUCUGAAUACACAUGGUAGUUGUAAGGGUUGAAGAUGAAACCAAAGGCCAAUACAUCCAUGGAAAAAGUCAAAGGGUGUUAAGCCUUGGUUUCCCAAACUCACUUUCUCAGGGCUCUCCUCUGUCUCAUUGACCAUUGCUUCUCAGUGUCAUUGCUGCUUUCUCAUUUCUUUGAUCUCUAAACUUGAGCUCCAGGGCUUAAUCUCAGGCUGCUUCUCUCUUAUGCAUAUUAUCAAGACACUCUUAUCUGGACUCAUGACUAAACACUGUCCACAGGCAAUGACUCCUCACUCUGAUUCUCCAGAUCUGAUUCUCUCUUUUUGACUCCAUACACAGGUAUCUGACUGUCUCCUAUGCAUCUCCAUUUAGAGGUCGACUUGGAAUCUCAAACUCAAUCUACAUCCAAUACCAAACUCUCAACUUUCUCCAAAACAUACUCCUUUCUCAGUUUUCCCUAUCUCAGUAAAUAAUGAACCCAGCAUUUAUAUGGUUUAGGAAAAAUUUUGAGUUGUAUUUGAAUUUCUCAAUUUGUUUGACAUGUUUGGUAGAUCCACACAUCCUUUCAGAUCUACCUUCAAAAUACACUCAGAAACUACGUACUUCCCCACUUUCUCCCUAGUCCAAGUCACCAUUGACUCCUGUCUGGUAGAUGGCAGUGAUGAAGAGAGAUGGUGAGUGGUACAGCCAGAAGAUAAUGAUUCAAAACAGGUUUUUUUUUUAAUGUUUUUAUUAAGUUAAAACUUUUAGGAGUUCCCUGGUGUGGCCUAGUGACUAGGGACUUGGCAUUGUCCCUUCUGUGGCUCAGGUUUGAUCCCUGGCUGGGCAACUUCUACCUGCUGUGG